rnacentral:lncRNA from 1 species
UAACGCAGUGCCUGUUCAGACUGAUUCAUUAGAGACUGAUUCAUUAGAGACUGAUUCAUUAGAGCUAGACUCAUAACGCAGUGCCUGUUCAGACUGAUUCAUUAGAGACUGAUUCAUUAGAGACUGAUUCAUUAGAGCUAGACUCAUAACACAGUGCCUGUUCAGACUGAUUCAUUAGAGACUGAUUCAUUAGAGACUGAUUCAUUAGAGCUAGACUCAUAACACAGUGCCUGUUCAGACUGAUUCAUUAGAGACUGAUUCAUUAGAGACUGAUUCAUUAGAGACUGAUUCAUUAGAGACUGAUUCAUUAGAGACUGAUUCAUUAGAGCUAGACUCAUAACACAGUGCCUGUUCAGACUGAUUCAUUAGAGACUGAUUCAUUAGAGACUGAUUCAUUAGAGACUGAUUCAUUAGAGCUAGACUCAUAACGCAGUGCCUGUUCAGACUGAUUCAUUAGAGACUGAUUCAUUAGAGACUGAUUCAUUAGAGACUGAUUCAUUAGAGACUGAUUCAUUAGAGCUAGACUCAUAACGCAGUGCCUGUUCAGACUGAUUCAUUAGAGACUGAUUCAUUAGAGACUGAUUCAUUAGAGCUAGACUCAUAACGCAGUGCCUGUUCAGACUGAUUCAUUAGAGACUGAUUCAUUAGAGACUGAUUCAUUAGAGCUAGACUCAUAACGCAGUGCCUGUUCAGACUGAUUCAUUAGAGACUGAUUCAUUAGAGACUGAUUCAUUAGAGCUAGACUCAUAACGCAGUGCCUGUUCAGACUGAUUCAUUAGAGACUGAUUCAUUAGAGACUGAUUCAUUAGAGACUGAUUCAUUAGAGACUGAUUCAUUAGAGACUGAUUCAUUAGAGACUGAUUCAUUAGAGACUGAUUCAUUAGAGACUGAUUCAUUAGAGACUGAUUCAUUAGAGACUGACUCAUAACACAGUGCCUGUUCAGAUUGAUUCAUUCAUUAGACUGUUUUGUUUGAAACAACAUGUUUAUGCCAGGGUUGGCGUCAAUUCAGGAAGUUAACUGAGAUUUCGAUUCAAAAUCCUAUUCUCUUUAUUGCUUUUCAAUGAGGAAAAUGUGGAAUUGGAAUUUGGUUUACUUUCUGAAUUGACUGAUAUUGAAAUGGAAUUGACCUCCCCUGCUUUCUGCUAAUCCUAAAACAUGGUUUAUGGUUAGCAGAAAGAGAGAGUACCGAGUCGUGCCUAAUGCUUUGAGUACUGACUUGUUUCGGGGCUUAAUGGUUUGAGUACUGAGUAGUGACUUGUUUCAGGGCUUAAUGCUUUGAGUACUGAGUAGUGACUUGUUUCAGGGCUUAAUGCUUUCAGUAGUGACUUGUUUCGGGGCUUAUUGCUUUGACUACUGACUUGUUUCGGGGCUUAAUGCUUUGAGUACUCAGCAGUGACUUGUUUCGGAGCUUAAUGCUUUGAGUAGUGACUUGUUUCGGGGCUUAAUGCUUUGAGUAGUGACUUGUUUCAGGGCUUAAUGCUUUGAGUAGUGACUUGUUUCGGGGCUUAAUCCUUUGAGUACUGAGUAGUGACUUGUUUCAGGGCUUAAUGCUUUGAGUAGUGACUUGUUUCGGGGCUUAAUGCUUUGAGUAGUGACUUGUUUCGGGGCUUAAUGCUUUGAGUAGUGACUUGUUUCGGGGCUUAAUGCUUUGAGUAGUUACUUGUUUCGGGGCUUAAUGCUUUGAGUAGUGACUUGUUUCGGGGCUUAAUGCUUUGAGUACUGAGUAGUGACUUGUUUCAGGGCUUAAUGCUUUGAGUAGUGACUUGUUUCGGGGCUUAAUGCUUUGAGUACUGAGUAGUGACUUGUUUCAGGGCUUAAUGCUUUGAGUAGUGACUUGUUUCGGGGCUUAAUGCUUUGAGUAGUGACUUGUUUCAGGGCUUAAUGCUUUGAGUAGUGACUUGUUUCGGGGCUUAAUGCUUUGAGUACUGAGUAGUGACUUGUUUCAGGGCUUAAUGCUUUGAGUAGUGACUUGUUUCGGGGCUUAAUGCUUUGAGUAGUGACUUGUUUCGGGGCUUAAUGCUUUGAGUACUGAGUAGUGACUUGUUUCAGGGCUUAAUGCUUUGAGUAGUGACUUGUUUCAGGGCUUAAUGCUUUGAGUAGUGACUUGUUUCGGGGCUUAAUGCUUUGAGUAGUGACUUGUUUCGGGGCUUAAUGCUUUGAGUAGUGACUUGUUUCAGGGCUUAAUGCUUUGAGUAGUGACUUGUUUCGGGGCUUAAUGCUUUGAGUAGUGACUUGUUUCGGGGCUUAAUGCUUUGAGUAGUGACUUGUUUCGGGGCUUAAUGCUUUGAGUACUCAGUAGUGACUUGUUUCGGGGCUUAAUGCUUUGAGUACUGAGUAGUGACUUGUUUCGGGGCUUAAUGCUUUGAGUAGUGACUUGUUUCGGGGCUUAAUGCUUUGAGUAGUGACUUGUUUCGGGGCUUAAUGCUUUGAGUACUGAGUAGUGACUUGUUUCGGGGCUUAAUGCUUUGAGUAGUGACUUGUUUCAGGGCUUAAUGCUUUGAGUAGUGACUUGUUUCAGGGCUUAAUGCUUUGAGUAGUGACUUGUUUCAGGGCUUAAUGCUUUGAGCAGUGACUUGUUUCGGGGCUUAAUGCUUUGAGUAGUGACUUGUUUCGGGGCUUAAUGCUUUGAGUAGUGACUUGUUUCGGGGCUUAAUGCUUUGAGUAGUGACUUGUUUCGGGGCUUAAUGCUUUGAGUAGUGACUCGUUUCAGUGCCUUUAUUGUAGAAUGACUUGUUGGUUGGUCUGUAGAUUGUUUUCAGAUGCCACCUCCCCUUCUCUUCAAGCCCAGCUCUCCUAUCUCUCAGAGUUUGUGGACAGGACAGGUUCCUACCCUUUUUAAAAUGUACGUGUGAUCAGGGUGGUUGGCAGGUAGCCAAGGAGCGCUGCAGUUUCCCCCAAGCAACUCGUGUCAAGCAGAUCACACAAUUUACCACGGCCUACAGCAGGACUGGUCUACAGGGUAAUAGUAGUGUGGGUAGGAGCCAGUGUCUGGAGUUAGACCAGAUUAAUAACCCACUGUCUGGAGUUAGACCAGAUUAACAGCGUUAAUAACCCACUGUCUGGAGUUAGACCAGAUAACGGCAUUAAUAACCCAUCUGGAAUUAGACCAGAUUAAUAACCCACUGUCUGGAGUUAGACCAGAUUAACGGCGUUAAUAACCCAUCUGGAAUUAGACCAGAUUAACAGCGUUAAUAACCCACUGUCUGGAGUUAGACCAGAUUAACGGCAUUAAUAACCCACUGUCUGGAGUUAGACCAGAUAACGGCAUUAAUAACCCAUCUGGAAUUAGACCAGAUUAAUAACCCACUGUCUGGAGUUAGACCAGAUUAACGGCGUUAAUAACCCAUCUGGAAUUAGACCAGAUUAACGGCAUUAAUAACCCACUGUCUGGAAUUAGACCAGAUUAACGUCAUUAAUAACCCACUGUCUGGAGUUAGACCAGAUUAAUAACCCACUGUCUGGAAUUAGACCAGAUUAACGUCAUUAAUAACCCACUGUCUGGAGUUAGACCAGAUUAACAACCCACUGUCUGGAGUUAGACCAGAUUAACGGCAUUAAUAACCCACUUCUGGAAUUAGACCAGAUUAACAACCCACUGUCUGGAGUUAGACCAGAUUAACGUCAUUAAUAACCCACUGUCUGGAGUUAGACCAGAUUAACGGCGUUAAUAACCCACUGUCUGGAGUUAGACCAGAUUAACGUCAUUAAUAACCCACUGUCUGGGGUUAGACCAGAUUAAUAUCCCACUGUCUGGAGUUAGACCAGAUUAACGUCAUUAAUAACCCACUGUCUGGGGUUAGACCAGAUUAAUAACUCACUGUCUGGAGUUAGACCAGAUUAACAACUCACUGUCUGGGGUUAGACCAGAUUAAUAUCCCACUGUCUGGAGUUAGACCAGAUUAACGACAUUAAUAACCCACUGUCUGGAGUUAGACCAGAUUAACGUCAUUAAUAUGCCUCUGUCUGGAGUUAGACCUUAGACCAGAUUAACAACCCACUGUCUGGAGUUAGACCAGAUUAACGGCGUUAAUAACCCAUCUGGAAUUAGACCAGAUUAACAACCCACUGUCUGGAGUUAGACCAGAUUAACGGCAUUAACAACCCACUGUCUGGAGUUAGACCAGAUUAACGUCAUUAAUAACCCACUGUCUGGGGUUAGACCAGAUUAACGGCAUUAAUAACCCACUGUCUGGAGUUAGACCAGAUUAACGUCAUUAAUAACCCACUGUCUGGAGUUAGACCAGAUUAACGGCGUUAAUAACCCACUGUCUGGAGUUAGACCAGAUUAACGUCAUUAAUAACCCACUGUCUGGAGUUAGACCAGAUUAACGCCAUUAACAACCCACUGUCUGGGGUUAGACCAGAUUAACAUCAUUAAUAACCCAGUGUCUGGAGUUAGACCAGAUUAACGUCAUUAAAAACCCACUGUCUGGAAUUAGACCAGAUUAACGUCAUUAAUAACCCACUGUCUGGAGUAAAACCAGAUUAACGUCAUUAAUAACCCACUGUCUGGGGUUAGACCAGAUUAACGUCAUUAAUAACCCACUGUCUGGAGUUAGACCAGAUUAACGCCAUUAACAACCCACUGUCUGGGGUUAGACCAGAUUAACAUCAUUAAUAACCCAGUGUCUGGAGUUAGACCAGAUUAACGCCAUUAACAACCCACUGUCUGGGGUUAGACCAGAUUAACAUCAUUAAUAACCCAGUGUCUGGAGUUAGACCAGAUUAACGUCAUUAAUAACCCACUGUCUGGAGUUAGACCAGAUUAAUAACCCACUGUCUGGGGUUAGACCAGAUUAACGUCAUUAAUAACCCACUGUCUGGAGUUAGACCAGAUUAAUAACCCACUGUCUGGAGUUAGACCAGAUUAAUAACCCACUGUCUGGAGUUAGACCAGAUUAAUAACCCACUGUCUGGAGUUAGACCAGAUUAACGUCAUUAACAACCCACUGUCUGGAGUUAGACCAGAUUAAUAACCCACUGUCUGGGGUUACACCAGAUUAACGGCGUUAAUAACCCACUGUCUGGAGUUAGACCAGAUUAACGUCAUUAAAAACCCACUUCACAUAAAAUAGUGUCUGUUUUGCACUGAAUUUUAAAACAACCCAUUUAUCAAACGGAUAGCGUUAGAAAUUAGUCUGCACUGCUUCCGUGAUAAUGAAUGACAAAUUAGCAUGCUGUUAUUGAUAUGCUAUUAUGGACCACCACCAUGACUGGUAACAUGAACGACCUGAAUGUUUAGGCUUCUGACACAUUUACCUGUCCUGGAAUGACUGCAGCCUUGUAUCGUACUGUGAUGACCUGGGAUGUGUUCAUUAGGGACGAAACAGAAGAAACCUGAUUUAAAACUACCUGCACUAGUAGUCCAAUAACAAACACUAAUGUAUAUUUUCCCUGUUGUUAAAACAUUUUUUGCUACGGUGUGGCCUACUGAACACUAACCCUUCUUUUUUUAAGAGGUCAAAUGGCACAUAGGGGUUGAAAGUAGUGCACUUUUUUAUUAGUGGAUAGGUUGCCAGUUGGGACACUGGUCCCUGUGUGUGUGUCUGGCAGGGAUGUUACGGUUACAGAAGGCUGUGUCACAAAGGGCAUCCUAUUCUCUAUGUAAUACACUGCUUUGGAUCAGGCUAGCUUUAGCUUUGGAGCAGGCUAGCUUUAGCUUUGGAUCAGGCUAGCUUUAGCUUUGGAUCAGGCUAGCUUUAGCUUUGGAUCAGGCUAGCUUUAGCUUUGGAGCAGGCUAGCUUUAGCUUUGGAACAGGCUAGCUUUGCUCGGUUUAUGUAGUCCCCUUAACUAUUGCUGUUGUGUGAUUUUUUUUUUUUAAUGUCAAUGAUCUUUCACUUUAUGCGUCCUCGGCACCACUGUUUUUAUUUUUUCAUUCAUGCUGUACUGUGAUUUUGUUGUUGUUGUUGUUAUUUGUUUUGUUUAUAAUGAAACUGUUCUCUCUGUCCACUAAUUACAAUUAAUAAAUAAACUUACCUCUGAGUUUAAAG